rnacentral:sRNA from 1 species
GUCAGGCGUGGUGGUGCACACCUGUAAUCCCAGUCACUCGGGAGACUGAGACAGGAGGAUCACAAGUUCAAAGCCAGCCUCAGCAACAACGAGUCACUAAGCAACUCCAUGAGCCCCUGUCUCUA